rnacentral:rRNA from 1 species
UUUGGUCAAGCUGAUAAGAGCGCAGGUGGAUGCCUUGGCACUAAGAGCCGAUGAAAGACGUGAUAAGCUGCGAAAAGCUUCGGGGAGGAGCAAAUAUCCUUUGAUCCGGAGAUAUCUGAAUGGGGAAACCCGGCUGAGUAAC